rnacentral:rRNA from 1 species
AUCACCAAUAGCGCAUAUUCAAGUUGUUGCGGCAACAGUGUAUAUUAAAGUUGUUGCGGCUUUUCAAGCUCGUAUCUGGAUUUCUGCCGAGGACGACCGGUCCGCCCUCUGGGUGAGUAUCUGGCUCGACCUGGGCAUGUUCUUGAACAACGUAACUGCACUUGACUGUGCGAUGCGGUAUCCAGGAGUUAUGUUGAGGAAGUUCGAGUGUUUCAGGCAGGCACACGCCUUGAUUCUUGAACACAUUGUCAUGGAAUAAUAUUGUAGGCUCUCGGUUCUAUGUUGUCGGUUUCUAGGGCUGAGGUAAUGGUUAGUAGGGAUCGUUGGGGGCAUUCGUGUUUCGUUGUCAGAAGUAAAAUGCUUGGAGUUGCUAAAGACGGACUACUGCGAUAGUAUUUACCAAGGACAAUUUCA